AUUUUCAGAAAGGAUUGGACCUUGGAUGAGAUAUAAUAUAUGUUGAUAAUAUUUGCAGCUUUUCUAUUCCAGUUUCUAAAAGAGUGAAAUGUUACACGAAUACAAAGCCUUGCCUAUUAGAAAGCCCACUGGACUAUAGUGUAAACCCAUAAGGAUACUUCACAUUUAAUCAAAGCAACGACCAAAACAGCUCCGAACAACUUUGCGAUCAUAAUCAUCUCAGAGAGCUCAAACCAAGAAAAAAACGUCGCGAAGAAGAUGAUGCACAUGACCUUCUACUGGGGCAUCAAAGCCACAAUCCUCUUCGAUUUCUGGAAAACCGAUUCAUGGCUGAGUUACAUCCUCACUUUAGUCGCCUGCUUCGCCUUCGCCGCCUUCUACCAGUACCUCGAGAAACGCCGUGUCCAAUUCAAAUCCCUUUCAUCCACUCGCCAUCCUAAUCCCCCGCCUCGCGCCGGCGUUUCCGCACCUCUUAUCCCCAAAUCGGGCACCAGAUCCGCCGCCAAAGCUGCGUCGGUGCUGCUUUUCGGCGUCAACGCGGCGAUCGGUUACCUGCUGAUGCUGGCGGUUAUGUCGUUCAACGGAGGCGUUUUCAUCGCGAUCGUCGUCGGGUUAACAGUCGGUUACCUCGUUUUCAGAUCUGACGACGACGGUGCUGACGUGGCGGCGGAGAAUCCAUGCGCGUGUGCUUGAUUUCGGAUGAUUCGGUUUAUGUUUUUUGUGUUUGAUCUACGCCACGUGUUUUGUUUUUUAUUUCUGUAUAUUUUUUUUCUUUUCUUGUUGGCUCCUUCACCAAACUGAUUAUCGGCGACGAUCUGAAUGCGUUUCUGGGUUUAAUGAUGUGUAUGAACUUAAUGGGACACACUCAUUUUGAUGUUUCAGAGUUCCAACAAGGAGAAGACACCAGAACUUCACAUGUCGAUCUCACGUAUUCUACAGAUAUCCCUUCAAAUAUCGCCAAUAUGAUGGGUGUUCGAACUAGAAUUCGUGAUAGACAAAUGCAUCAACAGUUCAAAGUUGAUUUGGUUGAACAUUUAUGGAGUAAUUUUGGAUGUGAUGAAGACAACAACUGAAUUCAGAAUGUUUCUUUCAAAUUAUUCUCGAUUAUUCUACUAAUCUUUAUUUUUAUGUUUUUUAUAUCAAUGUUUUAAAUGUUAUUUUUUAAUAUGUUUUAUUUAAUAAAUAAAUUUUAUCUAAUUUUUUUUUUUUAAGAAACUCUCAUUGGACCGCUCAAAAUGGAAGUUUCUUAAGUUUUUAAUCCCACUUAAGUACAUUUAAAGUAUUAAAUAAUAAACUCACUUAAGGAUCAUGGAUAAUUAUGCUCUAAAGAAUACACUUCAAUAAUAUAGGUCGUUUUUAUAUCAAUUUUUUAAAAACAUCCUAGAUAACAAAUCUGGACUAUAAAACAAUACUAUCUAGUAGCUAGGCAUCUACUAAUACAUAUAGUUCUCAACAGGCAACUUUAAUUCAUCAAUGUUGACGGAUUAUAUACGCUACAGUUAUCAUUGAAUCAUAUAUAUAUAUAUAUAUGCAAUCGCCACAGGAUCACUAGAGACAGUUGAAAAAAUAAGAGAAAUAAUCAAUAUAGGCCACAUAUUAUUUCUCAAAUCACUAACACAAACUCAUAGAUAUAUUAUGCUAGCUGAUGCAUAUGUCUCAGUUCUAACAUCUUCAGGGUUCCAUUUUCUGUGCCUUUAUACUUUUAUAGCCAUAGCAGUGUAUGUAUGACAUCCACUUAGCCCUAAUUAGAACAACUAAAAUCUAAUAUUUUAGAUUCAGUUAAAGUAGUAUGUAUAUGCAUCUGUAUAAACAAAAAUAUGAAAUGUGUAUGUCAAAUGUGAAUGCAUGGCACAUGCGGAUAUGUCCAGCUUUGGUGUGAUGAAGAGAUCCAAGUCUUAACAUCACUUUCCAAUUGGUGUGGCGCAAGGGUCAUUCCUCUUCACUUUGUUGCCCACUUGCCUAAGACACUCUAACUCGACAUUUUGUCAUCUAUUUGUUUCUUAAUUGUUUCAAAUUGAAAGACAACUCCAUGUUCUUUUUGUUUAUAUUCUUAAUUUUUCGGCCACUUUAUGUUGUUUUGAGUUAAAAGUAUCUCGAGCCCCUUUCACCAAUAUCUUUGAGUGUACCCACCAAGAUUUGUAUCUUUAUCAUUCCAUUAUGAUAACUGUACACCUCUUAACUGAUAACUUUAAAAGUAUGUGAAGCCCAAGCUAGGGUUAAAUUAAGUUUUGCUAUAAUAAGAAACAGUCCUAGGCAAAAACAAAUGAAAUGGUAGAAGAAAAAUAGAUACAAUACUAGUGAGAAGAAAGAUUCAGGGUCGACCAACCCUGGUUAACUAGGAUAGAUUUAAAAAAACGUGCAAUUAGAAUUUGCCUGAUUUGAAGUCUAAUUAUCUAUGAUAUUCACACCUAAAGUUUUCCACUAUCCAUAAAAAACAAAAUUAGAAUAUCUAUAAAUGGACAUAAAGAAUGUCAUCCAAGUUCAUAUCCUAACCUUCUGAAUAAUAUUCAGAAUUUUCAGAAAGGAUUGGACCUUGGAUGAGAUAUAAUAUAUGUUGAUAAUAUUUGCAGCUUUUCUAUUCCAGUUUCUAAAAGAGUGAAAUGUUACACGAAUACAAAGCCUUGCCUAUUAGAAAGCCCACUGGACUAUAGUGUAAACCCAUAAGGAUACUUCACAUUUAAUCAAAGCAACGACCAAAACAGCUCCGAACAACUUUGCGAUCAUAAUCAUCUCAGAGAGCUCAAACCAAGAAAAAAACGUCGCGAAGAAGAUGAUGCACAUGACCUUCUACUGGGGCAUCAAAGCCACAAUCCUCUUCGAUUUCUGGAAAACCGAUUCAUGGCUGAGUUACAUCCUCACUUUAGUCGCCUGCUUCGCCUUCGCCGCCUUCUACCAGUACCUCGAGAAACGCCGUGUCCAAUUCAAAUCCCUUUCAUCCACUCGCCAUCCUAAUCCCCCGCCUCGCGCCGGCGUUUCCGCACCUCUUAUCCCCAAAUCGGGCACCAGAUCCGCCGCCAAAGCUGCGUCGGUGCUGCUUUUCGGCGUCAACGCGGCGAUCGGUUAC
rnacentral:lncRNA from 1 species